rnacentral:rRNA from 1 species
UGGAUCCAGACUUUGAUUAUGGCUCAGGACGAACGCUGGCGGCGUGCUUAACACAUGCAAGUCGAACGGAGCACCCUUGAUUGAGGUUUCGGCCAAAUGAUAGGAAUGCUUAGUGGCGGACUGGUGAGUAACGCGUGAGGAACCUGCCUUUCAGAGGGGGACAACAGUUGGAAACGACUGCUAAUACCGCAUGACGCAUUUUGAUCGCAUGGUCGAAAUGCCAAAGAUUUAUCGCUGAAAGAUGGCCUCGCGUCUGAUUAGAUAGUUGGCGGGGUAACGGCCCACCAAGUCGACGAUCAGUAGCCGGACUGAGAGGUUGACCGGCCACAUUGGGACUGAGAUACGGCCCAGACUCCUACGGGAGGCAGCAGUGGGGAAUAUUGGGCAAUGGGCGCAAGCCUGACCCAGCAACGCCGCGUGAAGGAAGAAGGCUUUCGGGUUGUAAACUUCUUUUAAGUGGGAAGAGCAGAAGACGGUACCACUUGAAUAAGCCACGGCUAACUACGUGCCAGCAGCCGCGGUAAUACGUAGGUGGCAAGCGUUGUCCGGAUUUACUGGGUGUAAAGGGCGUGCAGCCGGGCAUGCAAGUCAGAUGUGAAAUCUCAGGGCUUAACCCUGAAACUGCAUUUGAAACUGUAUGUCUUGAGUGCCGGAGAGGUAAUCGGAAUUCCUUGUGUAGCGGUGAAAUGCGUAGAUAUAAGGAAGAACACCAGUGGCGAAGGCGGAUUACUGGACGGUAACUGACGGUGAGGCGCGAAGGCGUGGGGAGCGAACAGGAUUAGAUACCCUGGUAGUCCACGCUGUAAACGAUGGAUACUAGGUGUGCGGGGAUUGACCCCCUGCGUGCCGCAGUUAACACAAUAAGUAUCCCACCUGGGGAGUACGAUCGCAAGGUUGCAACUCAAAGGAAUUGACGGA